UCGACGCCCUUACAGCUGUUUGUGAGUAUGGCUAGCAGGCAGACGGUACGCUUGAGAGGGUGAACGUCCACUGACUGAGAACACGUCAGCUCUACCGAAGCAGCAUCGAAUAUUGCACAAUGGCGAAGCUGAUGCAGCAACGCCGCGGGAGGGAUGACGCUUCGGUUGUAAACCUCUUUUAGUAGGGAAGAAGGGAGCUUCGGUCUGACGGUACUGCAGAAAAAAGCACGGCUAACUACGUGCCAGCAGCCGCGGUAAUACGUAGGGUGCAAGCGUUGUCCGGGAAUUAUUGGGCGUAAAGAGCUCGUAGGCGGUUUGUCGCGUCUGCUGUGAAAACGCGAGGCUCAACCUCGCGCCUGCAGUGGGUACGGGCAGACUAGAGUGCGGUAGGGGAGAUUGGAAUUCCUGGUGUAGCGGUGGAAUGCGCAGAUAUCAGGAGGAACACCGAUGGCGAAGGCAGAUCUCUGGGCCGUAACUGACGCUGAGGAGCGAAAGCGUGGGGAGCGAACAGGAUUAGAUACCCUGGUAGUCCACGCCGUAAACGUUGGGAACUAGAUGUGGGGACCAUUCCACGGUCUCCGUGUCGCAGCUAACGCAUUAAGUUCCCCGCCUGGGGAGUACGGCCGCAAGGCUAAAACUCAAAGGAAUUGACGGGGGCCCGCACAAGCGGCGGAGCAUGCGGAUUAAUUCGAUGCAACGCGAAGAACCUUACCAAGGCUUGACAUAUACCGGAAACGUCUGGAAACAGUCGCCCCGCAAGGUCGGUAUACAGGUGGUGCAUGGUUGUCGUCAGCUCGUGUCGUGAGAUGUUGGGUUAAGUCCCGCAACGAGCGCAACCCUCGUUCUAUGUUGCCAGCACGUAAUGGUGGGAACUCAUGGAAGACUGCCGGGGUCAACUCGGAGGAAGGUGGGGAUGACGUCAAAUCAUCAUGCCCCUUAUGUCUUGGGCUUCACGCAUGCUACAAUGGCCGGUACAAAGGGCUGCAAUACCGUAAGGUGGAGCGAAUCCCAAAAAGCCGGUCUCAGUUCGGAUUGAGGUCUGCAACUCGACCUCAUGAAGUCGGAGUCGCUAGUAAUCGCAGAUCAGCAACGCUGCGGUGAAUACGUUCCCGGGCCUUGUACACACCGCCCGUCAAGUCAUGAAAGUCGGUAACACCCGAAGCCAGUGGCCUAACCCUUGUGGAUGGAGCUGUCUAAGGUGAAUCGUAAAGUCCCC
rnacentral:rRNA from 1 species